UCUCGCGCGCCUACCCUGUCCUCCGCAGGCGCGCCACGGCCACCCGUCGCAGCCCACCUGUGCGGGCCGCAGCCUCAGGAUAUCGCUGUUGGCUCGACCAGAACGCGACGCGCCGAAUUCGGCUACGCGCCCGCCCGCCGCUCGCUCCGCUCGCUCCGCACGCCCCCUUACCCGCGCGGCGCCACAGCUCAGCCGACCGCCUGUUACGGCGCCCGCGCUUCCGAUUGGCGCGCUGGGCGGGCGACCGCGGGCGGAAGCGGUAGAGGUGGGAAGGCGGGGCCGCGGGCAGGAGGCUCGACGCCAGGAUGAUCUCGCCUGGGACUGGUCCUCGCGAGGCCUUUUGUGACUAACGCCCGGUGUUGGGGCGAGGCUCACGAGCGCUUUCGCUGGUCUGGCAUCCAGGCAAACUUACUGAACCAGUACUAGUCAAACUCUGAAGAUCUCAAGGACUUGCUCUGUUUCGUGCUUGCAUCUGUAAUGCCUACUGAAAUAGCCUCCAGAUGAAAACUCAGCUCAGCUGACCCCUUUAUUUCUGCUUCGUGAUUCACUGAGUAGAGGACCCAGUCACACCAUGCCGGACGUCAGAACUACGGAAUUAAAUCUUCUGACAUCUUCAACUGCUCUGUGAAAUCUACUAUAAUAUGCUAAUGAGAAGAAGGAGCCUUAAACUUCCAAGAUCACACAACAAUUUGUUGGAGGACCUAAGAAUUCAAACCCAGUUUUAUCUGUUAAGGAACAACUUCUCUGAGAAGCAGGAGUAAAUCGAUCAGCUGCUUAUUUCUUAAGGAAAAAUGAGUUUAUGAUAGUUCUGCUUGAUUUCAGAUUCGAAGAAAAAUCAGGAAAAACUUUACCCAAGAAAUUUCAUUGUUUGGGUUUGUGUGCUGAUGACUGAAGUAUGUCAAGUUGCUGUCCAGGUCAAGGCAAGAAAGGAGGUAAUGUGGUGUGAUGUUAAGAACACCUGGGAUUGAAGGUGACUAAGCCUGAAUGAGGAAUUUAUCUCUGAGACCCUCUCCCUUCCACAUUUUUUAUUUUGCAAGGGGGAAGAUGGGCAGCGGGCACAGCUGCACUAUAUAAGCUCUGAGAUGCAUCAUUUCCCAGUUCCUCUCCUGUGGUACAAACUCAUGGAUGUGAAGGGCACAUCUGGCUCUCAUCGGUCGCCCUCUGGAGGCUUGGAGCACAGGGAUCCAAUGCCAAGAUUCUCAUGUGACAUGAUUUCUCAGCGUGGUGGUGGAAGUCUAAUUACAAGCAUUGAUCUAAGACUGCAGGGACCAACCACGGAAAGAUCGCAGUACCAGUGAGUCAGAGAACUUCCUUUAAAACUAUUUGUGGAUGCCUGGAAGUCUGGGCUAUUGUUUUCUACCUUUCCCGUAACAGUUUUCCCCAGGGCUAUUCUGUUGCAUCCCAUCACGUGAAGCUGGCUGUGGGGGGCGGAUGGAGCAGGCCGACCUCCGAUGCUGCACUUAGCAGCCUCGAUUUCACGUGAGAAACGUGUAGCUCUGCACACAGACCUCUCGCCUCUCCCUUCUUGCUGUCAGUAUUUACACGAAGAGUAAAUAACCCCAAGCAAAGAGCAAGUCAGCUUUUCACCUGCGACACCUCUAGGGCUUUUUACAGCAGCCCCAGAGCUAGUGGAGGGAUCUGGCCUUGGAAGUCCCUUGACAGAACACUGAAAUCCAGGCUGUGGCACCAAUCAAUGAAGAUAAAGGCAACAAAAAAGAAUUCUUCUUCGCUGGAGGGUUUUAUUCCCUCCCCAAGUCAGGAAACAAAAAGGUAGUUUCUUGUCAAAAUUCUGCUUUUGUACAAAAAGAAAUCUAAAUGCAGCUAUUUUACUCAGUAGAGACUCACAUGAUGCCAGACCUAUAAGAGGCACUAAGUUAAGGGGCGGCUGCUACGGUCUCAGCGUUAUUCUUAAAACCCAAACAAUAAAGAGCCUCGAGUAUCCAGCUUCUGAAAAGAGCGUCCAGAAAACUGCAGCCCUUCCCGCUGGGGAGUCCUGAGGGGUGAGGACCAUAUCUGCUACCAGCCUCCUGCCACACUCUAACCCAUGGGUUAUACAGAGAGAACGCUGGGAAGAGGGGCCCAGAGAGCUGUGAGCUCAGGGCACUGCAGUUCGGGGCUAGCGACCUCACCAGCACCGCCACCUCCCUAGGUCAAGUGUAGGAGACUCCACGAAAAUGCCUCACAAAGAUGGGGGGUUUCUGCCAGGAGAAGCUGGCUCUUAACGCCUGCUGGGGCAUCUUCCCGAGCACUUGGGCUGCUCGUCUCUCACUUGGCUUGCACUUCAGGGAAAACAAACCAACAGUGGGUCUUCCCCAGGCAGCUGGGGAGCUGGCAGCAGCCUGGCCCCUUGCCACCUGAGGUAGUAAGGUUUUGUGAUCUCUUGGGGGAGCUAGUGCUUAUCACGGGAAGAAGCCGGGCUUUAGCCGUCUCGUUCUCCUGCCCUUGCUAGGGUCACAGGACCCAUAAAGGGGCCAACUGCUGGUUAUGAGUUCCCAGGCUGGAAGAUGUCAGGCAGAGCUGAAACUCGGAUUCAGAGAACUAUGUCGUGUGCAGGUACACAGGACCCUCUAAAGAACACUCGUGGACCCAUCAGGAGAGUCAGAGGGUCAAGACCUGUCACAUAGGCCACUCAGUAUAAGCCAGAGAUGCAGACAACCAACAAGGGAAGAGCUGUGACCAGGGUACCAAGGAGGUAAAGAAGACUUCUAACUUUUCCUGACAUCCUUCUUGCCUGCAGAAACCAAGCAAUGGGGAGAACAGAAAAAGUCUAUGUCCCUCCUUCCAUUCCAGUGUUGGGGUCGAAGGAUGAGCAAAAAAUGAAUAUUUCCGGGUCCUUUGAUACACGUGUCAGGCCUUUGUGGGGAAGAGGAGAGCUUUCAACUGAUGGUAAACUUCCUGUUUUAAACUGAACUGGGACUACUUUUUAAUAACUCAAAAUUUCAGGAAAUUGAUGAUAUCUACUAGACAGAUAGUGAAGGGAAAGGGUAUUUGGUGCAGGGUGGUUGGGAAGAGUGAUUGGAAAAGGUUAAACCAUUUCAUGUUUAGAUUCUAAUGAGUCUCAAUUCCUCAAUAAAGCUGAAAUCGGAACUAAAUACGAAACCUGCAUAAAAUUUGGUUUCUAGAAUUGUUUCUUAAUCUUUAGUGUUUAAAGACCUCUGAACUUUCUGAAUCAGUCAACCAAGGGGAGAAUUCAAAAUCUAAAUUUUUCAUAAAAAAUUCACAGUGAUUAUGAUUAUAGUCAGCACACCACGUUUCAAGAAACGCUGACUUAAAGGGACAGUGAAUAGUCAAAUAUGCUUAGUUUGAAGACAUCUAAAAACCCUUAAAUUACUACAGUUUUGAUAGCAUCAAUUUAACAUUUAGAGGAAAAAAAUUAGGAAUAUACAAUUAAGGAAGUACAUGUUUUGAAACUGUGCCAAGGAACAAUACGAUGCUAGUUUUCGAUUAUGAUGUAAAAAAUGUAGAACUUUAGAAUUCUAGCUCAUCUGAUUGCUUACGACAUAAAUGUAGUAACUUAAAAAUCAAGUAAAAUGUUUCUGUCAAUGCAGUAUUAGACUUUUUAUAGGAUUUCUGUUUAAUUUAAAAUUUUCCAUGAGAACUAAGGCAUUAUAUAUUUAUGUAGGUGGAGAAACAAUGAAUAAAUAUUCCUCAGGUCUUUUCUCAAGUCACCUUUUCAAUGAGUGGCAGUAGUUGCUUAAUAGAUAUUUUUGAAUGAGUGAUUAUUAAUUUUUCACUAUGAAGAUUACCACUUUCCACCUACUGUAAGCUUCUAUUUUUGAAACAGUUAUGUGCAAAAGAAAUAUAAUUAUCUCUUUACAUUUCCUGAAGCCCUACUACACACACACAUACAUAUACACACCAAUGAAAGAUUAAAAAAUUAAUGAUAUCCCUGGAAGCAAGGAAAUUUACCUUUAUGUCUUAGCAAGUGAACAUGGAAACUAAAAGGGAAGCAUCUCAAGGUCAUGGCAAAGGACUUUAUUCUUUCUUUCUUAGAAUAGAAAUUGCUUCUGUGAGUAUUAGGGAACCAUUUAUAAUGCAUGUGUUUUAGAACAGAGACGGGUGGUGGAGAUGAAGAUGGAGGGUCCUGCUGAUGUGAUGCUGAUGGCAACGCUAAGUUCGCUAUAUUAACAAGCAUCACCUUCAAUAGGAAAUUAUAUCAAGUGUGUAUCUCAAAGAGCGUUGCAUCUUUAAUAAAUUAGAAACGUGGUCCACUCAAAUUUGACCUUUGUAAAGACUUAAGUUGGUAAACAGAGGCAGAGAAAACAGGAAAGAAGUCUGUGGAUGGAAACUUGAGUUCUUGGGCUGUUUUUGCCCCUUUAAAUUCCAUUUCUCACACUCCGAGGGCAGUAUUUAUGGAGGAUAAAGGCUCUAGCUCUGGAGUUAGACUAACUGGAGUUUGAAUCUAGUAUCUACCAUUUGUUAGCUCCUUGAACCUAGGAAAGUGAUCUCACUUUUCUAAGCCUAUUUCCUCUCUAUUAAAUGAGAUACUAACAUCAUUUAUUAUAAGUAAAGUGGAGUUGACUAUGAAGUUCAAAUAAAAACACACAUUUGAAUCACUUAGCACAGUGCCAAAUUUCUUAGUUUCUAUUGUUAUUACCACCAUCACUACUAUUACCAUUAUUGUUAUUCUGAACUAACAGAAACCACUUCCAGCUUACCGCCAAUCUUUUACUCUGACCCUCCCUCAUUUCCUAUGUACUCCUCUUUUCCUAUCUUUUCUCCUCUUCCCUUGAACCAUCAGAACCACGGUCGUCAAACAUUCUCCCAAGGCCUGUAGAUUUCACUUGUUGGUGCACCAAAUUUGUAUUGCAUAUAUGACCUAAAAGACUUAAUUUUCUCUCCACUAAAGAAGUCAAUACUCUGUAAUGGCUUAUAUGGGGAAAGAAUCUAAAAAAGAGUGGGUAUAUGUAUACGUAUAACUGAUUCACUUUUCUGUACAUCUGAAACUAACACAACACUGUAAAUCAACUGUACACCAAUAAAAAGUAUUAAAAAAUAGAAAAGGAAGUCAUUUGGUCAGCAAUGGUAUGUGCACACUGAACACUUUACAACUAUAUGAAUACUUUGUUGUUUGAGAUUUUACUGUGUUAGUCUUGAUAAAUCUUGGUAAAGAUGACUUUAAAAUUUCUUCCUCACAAAUAAACAGGAAAAUGAGAAUUCUAUGUCAUGCUGCAAUGAUUAU